CAAUGACCGUUCCUCCUAUUGCACAGAGUCUCGGCAAGCAGGAUUUUAGGUCAUCGCAGAUUAAACUUGGUCUUUUUCACUUGAGGUAAUGAGGCAGCUGGGCUGCCAGUCUUUACCUCGAAUUUUGCGGGACCAGACAAUA